UACGGGGGGGGCAAGCGUUGUUCGGAAUUACUGGGCGUAGAGGGCUCGUAGGCGGCCAACUAAGUCAUACGUGAAAUCCCUCGGCUUAACCGGGGAACUGCGUCUGAUACUGGAUGGCUUGAGUGUGGGAGAGGGAUGCGGAAUUCCAGGUGUAGCGGUGAAAUGCGUAGAUAUCUGGAGGAACACCGGUGGCGAAGGCGGCAUCCUGGACCAUUACUGACGCUGAGUGAGCGAAAGCCAGGGGAGCAAACGGG
rnacentral:rRNA from 1 species